GGAGAUGUAGCUCAAUGGUAGAGCACUUGCCUAGCAAUGUAAGGCCCAAGGUUCCUUCUCCA
rnacentral:tRNA from 1 species